rnacentral:rRNA from 1 species
GACGAACGCUGGCGGCGUGCCUAAUACAUGCCAGUUGAGCGCUGAAGGUUGGUACUUGUACCGACUGGAUGAGCAGCGAACGGGUGAGCAACGCGUGGGGAAUCUGCCUUUGAGCGGGGGACAACAUUUGGAAACGAAUGCUAAUACCGCAUAAAAACUUUAAACACAAGUUUUAAGUUUGAAAGAUGCAAUUGCAUCACUCAAAGAUGAUCCCGCGUUGUAUUAGCUAGUUGGUGAGGUAAAGGCUCACCAAGGCGAUGAUACAUAGCCGACCUGAGAGGGUGAUCGGCCACAUUGGGACUGAGACACGGCCCAAACUCCUACGGGAGGCAGCAGUAGGGAAUCUUCGGCAAUGGACGAAAGUCUGACCGAGCAACGCCGCGUGAGUGAAGAAGGUUUUCGGAUCGUAAAACUCUGUUGGUAGAGAAGAACGUUGGUGAGAGUGGAAAGCUCAUCAAGUGACGGUAACUACCCAGAAAGGGACGGCUAACUACGUG